rnacentral:lncRNA from 1 species
CGCCAGAAAGCUCAGUCUCCUGCUCAAAACAGGAGCGCAGCAGCCGGAGGGAGUGGGGACAAGCUCGCUGAACACUGGGCGUCUCGACAGGGACCAGAGCCUGCAGGACUGUUCCGAGACGCUGCGGUGGCGGCGGCGCCGGAGGACGCGGAGGACUCCCUGGCCACCCGCCCUCCGUGCGCUCUGCCACCGGGCGCUCAGCAGAGACCCCGGGCUGCGGCUGCACUUGCUGAGUGCCUCUCCCCGCCGCCGCAGCCCAGAGGCGCCCAGCACCUGGAGCUCACUGGAGCUGAGGGUCCGAGCUGAGCGGGCUGUUGUAAAGCCGAAAGGCGAGUCAGUGACUGGGACCUCUGUCCUGGUGGCGACGGAGAGAAACAGUGAGCCCGAGGGGCGCGGGCACAGAACUGUCCAGCUCCGAGAACUGGGGUCCGCCAGCCGGCGGGGAAAGCAGCUGAGCGCGGAGGCGAGUGAGCGGACGCGUCCCGGGGUCUUUGCAGUCCCCGCCGGCCCCAAGGCACCGACUCUCGGUCAGUUGGGCGCGGCAGGGCGGGAGGGGCGCGCCAUGGAGGCGCCGGGUCGCGCCAGUAUGCUCCAGGCCAAGUGAAGCGGUCCGGCUGGGGUCGGCGGGACCCGCGGGCCAUGUACGGCGACAUAUUCAACGCCACGGGCGGCCCCGAGGCGGCGGUAGGCAGCGCGCUGGCCCCAGGAGCCACGGUCAAGGCAGAAGGCGCUUUGCCGCUGGAGCUGGCCACUGCGCGCGGUAUGAGGGACGGCGCGGCCACAAAGCCCGACCUGCCCACCUACCUGCUGCUCUUCUUCCUGCUGCUGCUCUCGGUGGCGCUCGUCGUCCUCUUCAUCGGUUGCCAGCUGCGCCAUUCGGCCUUCGCCGCGCUGCCCCACGACCGCUCGCUGCGCGACGCCCGCGCGCCCUGGAAGACGCGGCCGGUGUAGCUUGGGACUGAGCCACGGCCGCCGGGCGCCCCGUCCCGACCUAGCCAAGAGCAGCCAGCUUGAGCCUGGUAGGGAGGGCACGACACCGGGGAUCGCUGGCCCCUGGGAACACGGUGCCCUGACCCAAAGACCCUUCCUGAACUAGAGUGGCAACCCGAGAGGAAAGGGAGACCGAGGCGUCGGGAGCCUGUGUAGGGUCUCGAUCCCAGUACCUGUAGGUACCGUGAUUCUGAUCCCCUGGCCAAAUCUUUCUUCCUCUGGACAGAGGGUCCAGUCGGGAAACCUUCCCGAAAGACGGCGGUCGGGUCGGGAAACCUUCCUGAAAGACGGCGCGCCAGCCCGUCUUGCUUGCUCGCCGCCUGCUGACUUCCUUACUUUGCACACGGAAGGGGCAGGAACCGCAAGCGUGCAACUAGCCUGGAGCUACCCGUCUGGACUCGCAGGCCCUGUGGCUGUUUCCCACAGCUGCUACGGCCUCUCUUGCUCCUUGACACCGAGGAGGACCCCACUAGGAUCCGAGCGUCGUGAACUCACCUGAACUUUGGAAGGUUGGCACUGGGGGGCCGCAUCCCCCUGGGAAAUGACUGAACGCGGGGUUUCAGUGGGUCCCGCCUGGGUCUAAGGACCCAGUUUCUUCUGUGAGCACGGGCAGUGGGAGGCCGGUGGAAAGGCGCAGGGGCCCACCUACGCGUCUCACAUCUUCAGGGGCGCAUUUCUACAAUAAAAACUCACCCAAUUAGACCUA